ensembl:snoRNA
GUUGAGGUCGAUCCCGAUGGGGCUUUUUCUGUAGACUUACAUCGGUGAAAACACUUCAUAGAAUAAAUACGUGCUUUCCUUUAUUCACAGAACUGUGUGUUAAAUCUGUGGGAAGGCAUUAAAAGACAGAA